UUGCUAACAUCGCUAACGAGAUGUCUUGCUAGCGGCUAAACUGUUGAAAUUUGCUUACUUUGUUUAUGACAAACUAGCGAGUCAACAACUUUCCUAACACAGUCAAACAUCAACUAAGUGCAACACAAGACAAAGCAAGACAGCAAAUACAUUUCUGAAUAAUCCAGCAGAAAGUAGCCCCUUGGCUGGCGGCUCCAGAAACUCCAUAGUGUUACUUUAAUUCAUGGGUUACACUCGUCAUGAACGUCGAUCGCUCAUCGGCCCAGGCCACAAUAGAUGUCAAAUAGCCUUUUCUGGUGCAUUUACUUUUAUGUUUAUUAAUGUGCACUGUCCCUGUUAAAUAAAGCAGAAAUAAAGAAAUCAAACGUGAACUCUAAAUGUGCAAGUGUAUACAUGUAUUCUUCUCCUCUGAUCUCCCUUUUGCCUGCUUGGCUUUAGCUGUGGGAAUCUCACAGGUUCACCCCUAGGAAUCCCACACCUUUAGUUUUAGGGUGCAGUGGAGUAAUAGUCUCACACAUUGAGUUUAAGGAGUAAUAGUCUCACACAUUGAGUUUAAGGGCAGUUCAGAGGGGUAAUAGUCUCACACAUUGAGUUUAAGGCUCAGAGGAGUAAUAGUCUCACACAUUGAGUUUAAGGCUCAGAGGGGGAAUAGUCUCACACAUUGAGUUCAGUGGAGUAAUAGUCUCACACAUUGAGUUCUACUCAGAGGAGUAAUAGUCUCACACAUUGAGUUCAGUGGAGUAAUAGUCUCACACAUUGAGUUUAAGGAGUAAUAUUCUCACACAUUGAGUUUAAGGAGUAAUAGUCUCACACAUUGAGUUUAAGGAGUAAUAUUCUCACACAUUGAGUUUAAGGAGUAAUAGUCUCACACAUUGAUUUAAGGGGUAAUAGUCUCACACAUUGAGUUUAAGGGGC
ensembl:lncRNA